rnacentral:misc_RNA from 1 species
GAUGAAGAACGUAGUGAAAUGCGAUAAGUAAUGUGAAUUGCAGAAUUCAGUGAAUCAUCGAAUCUUUGAACGCACCUUGCGCCCUUUGGACUUCUGAAGGGCAUGCCUGUUUGAGUAUCAUGAACACCUCAACUCCUUAUGGUCUUCCAUGAUGAGCUUGGACUUUGGGGGUUUUGCUGGCCUACAGUCAGCUCCUCUAAAAUAAAUCAGCUUACCGGUGUUUGGUGGGUAUCAUGGGUGUGAUAACUAUCUACGCUCGUGGUUUUCCACCAGGUAACCUUCAGCAGUGGAGGUUCACUGGAGCUCAUAGAUGUCUCUCCUCAGCGAGGACAGCCAUUUGAAUGUUUGAUCUCAAAUCAGGUAGGACUACCCGCUGAACUUAAGCAUAUCAAUAAGCGGAGGA